rnacentral:rRNA from 1 species
GACGAACGCAGGCGGCGUGCUUAACACAUGCAAGUCUACGAGAAAGGGGUAGCAAUAUCCCGAGUAAAGUGGCGCACGGGUGAGUAACACGUAAGUAAUCUACCUUUAGGUUCGGAAUAACCCAGAGAAAUCUGGGCUAAUACCGGAUGAUGCAGCGGAUCCACAUGGAUAUGUUGUUAAAGUCUAUACGACGCCUAAAGAUGAGCUUGCGGCCGAUUAGCUAGUUGGUAGGGUAACGGCCUACCAAGGCAACGAUCGGUAGCUGGUCUGAGAGGAUGAUCAGCCACACUGGAACUGAGACACGGUCCAGACUCCUACGGGAGGCAGCAGUGAGGAAUAUUGGGCAGUGCCCGAAAGGGUGACCCAGCAACGCCGCGUGGAGGAUGAAGGUCGUAAGAUUGUAAACUCCUGUUAGAGGGGACGAAUAACACCGAUCGACUCGGUGCUUGACUGUACCCUCAGAGAAAGCCCCGGCUAACUACGUGCCAGCAGCCGCGGUAAUACGUANGGGGCAAGCGUUGUCCGGAUUCACUGGGUGUAAAGGGCGCGCAGGCGGGUUAGCAAGUCAGANGUGAAAUCCUACAGCUUAACUGUAGAACUGCCUUUGAAACUGUUAAUCUUGAGUGCGGAAGANAGAGACGGAAUUCCAGGUGUAGCGGUGAAAUGCGUAGAUAUCUGGAAGACACCAGUUGCGAAGGCGGUCUCNUGGUCCGUUACUGACGCUCNGCGCGAAAGCNUGGGGNGCAAACNGGAUUAGAUACCCUGGNAGUCCANNCCCUAAAC